AAAUAUUGUAUUCAUCAAACCUAAAUGUUUAAUAAGCUCAAUAAAGAGGAUCUAAAACGAUGGUGUACUACAUACAUGCAAUAAAAAAAUCACGAUCUUUUCAAAAAACCCCAAAAUACCAAUUAGAAUUGAAGAUUGAAAUUUAGGGGUAAUGAAGAAUUGCGCCUGCUUCCACAACCAGGCAAGGAGCUGUUUCUUGAGUUCAAUUUCAUCGAGAUUCUCUGCAACAAACAAAUUUGAAAAUCAUAUUCUUUUGAUGGGAUGAGAGGAAGAGUAUUAACGGAAAGCUACACUUUGCAGUUAUAUUCAACCAUGCUCGUCCAUCUGAACAAAUCGAUUGGGGGAAUUAAUAUUUAUAUCAAGCAGAUGUCUUUCAAAUUUCCCAUUACAUUUUUCUCGGCUCGCAGCGGGGCCUCGCGAUCCUCUAAAAGAGUUGAACCUUCAACCUGUGCAAAGUGCCAGAAGGGCGAAAUUUAUACCACUCUUCAUACAAAGGCCAGCGCAGAGCUGGAAAUUAAACGCAGUAAAUUCAUAGCUUUGGCAGCACCUGUUUCUGACGAAGAAGCUGCUUUUAAUUUCUUAAACCAGGUCCGAGACCCACGUGCGACACAUAAUUGCUGGGGUUACAAGAUUGGGGACAUGUAUCGAUUCAAUGAUGAUGGGGAGCCUGUGGGUAAAGCUGGAAGACCAAUCCAUUCUGCAAUUGUUGCUUCAGGACUAGAUAGAGUAAUGGUUGUGGUAAUCAGGUACUUUGGAGGGAUAAAAUUAGGAGCUGGAGGGUUGGUAAGGGCAUAUGGAGGGGUCGCUUCAGACUGCUUAAGAGAUGCACCAAGUUGUUUGGUCAAAUCUAAGGUUGCAGUAACUCUGGAAGUGCCUUUUGACUUUUUAGGCAACAUCUAUUCUCUGAUCCAAUCGUAUCAGGUUGCAAACCUAGAGCAUGAGUAUGACAAGGUUGGAAAUGGCAUCAAUUACAUCAGAUUUGAAGUAGAUUUUGAUGAAGUCGACAUGUUGGAGCUGAAUAUAAAAAGUUCAUGCAGUGGCCAAGUUAGCAUCUCGAGAAUCUAGACUUAUCUGAUAUCGCACAUGCAUCCCUCUAGUGCUUCAUUUAGAAAAUUCAUUUGAAGGCAACUUAACAUAUUGAGAUGAGAUCGCAAAGGCCUGACCAAGGAAAGAACUGGGUGAUUUUGAGAGGAGAUCCAGUUGACCUGCAUGCUGUGCUAGAAGUUUCACAAGCCACAAUAUAACUAAUUGACUAUUGACAGCCUUAUCCAUCAAGGCUACGAGUUGCUUCAAAUCAAAAGGAGAGGUUUAUUGUGAAGCUUGGAAGAUGGUAAAGCAGUAAACCAGAACCUGAAAUAUUGGUAUCAGGAAUAAUAGAUAAUAAUAUGCAUCCAACAGCAUUUGGAACUACUGCAGAGAAUCAUCUACCAAGGCUAGCUGCUCUUAACAGGGAUUUCCUUUCCCAUAUAAUUAUCAGAGGUACUAGUACCGGGUAGGUAUGGGGUAUUGACUCCACCUGGUUUCAUAGGUCUGAGCAUGCCUUAUAUAUCCGAUGGGAGCGGAGGAGAUAGUUGUUGUACCCUAGCUUGAACCACAGUUACACUCGUGUGAGUGUUGUCAGUCGGUUGUAUUUCCCCGUCUGGCUGAUAUGCAUGUCAUGGUGCCUUGGUUUUGUCAUUUGAGAGUCGUCAUUUGAUCAUUCUUGGUUUUGCAUGUUCCCGUUUAUUUAAAUGGAUGAUGCUAUCUUAUGUUGGCGUAAUUAUUUAAUUAUUAUGCUCUGUGAUUAUUGAUUUAUUUAAAUUAAUGAUUGCUAGAUUAAAUGGUUAAA